rnacentral:lncRNA from 1 species
AGCAUAUCGGCUGAGUCUGGAAAUUUCACGUUCAUAAUCUACAACAGACAGGUUACCUUGUUUCAACAUCAAAAACUCCUGCCUCUUAUCUUCAAUAUACAGCUCCCCAACAUAUUUCUUCUGAAAUUCUUUUUGAAAUAAAUCCCAUGUCACCUGUUCUGUAGGCAGAUGUCGUAUUACAGAUUCCCACCACAAAUAGGCUUCUCCUUGCAGUAGAGAAACAGCAC